rnacentral:rRNA from 1 species
AUGAACGCUAGCGACAGGCUUAACACAUGCAAGUCGAGGGGCAGCACAGGUAGCAAUACCGGGUGGCGACCGGCGCACGGGUGAGUAACGCGUAUGCAACUUGCCUAUCAGAGGGGGAUAACCCGGCGAAAGUCGGACUAAUACCGCAUGAAGCAGGGGCCCCGCAUGGGGAUAUUUGCUAAAGAUUCAUCGCUGAUAGAUAGGCAUGCGUUCCAUUAGGCAGUUGGCGGGGUAACGGCCCACCAAACCGACGAUGGAUAGGGGUUCUGGGAGGAAGGUCCCCCACAUUGGUACUGAGACACGGACCAAACUCCUACGGGAGGCAGCAGUGAGGAAUAUUGGUCAAUGGCCGAGAGGCUGAACCAGCCAAGUCGCGUGAGGGAUGAAGGUUCUAUGGAUCGUAAACCUCUUUUAUAAGGGAAUAAAGUGCGGGACGUGUCCCGUUUUGUAUGUACCUUAUGAAUAAGGAUCGGCUAACUCCGUGCCAGCAGCCGCGGUAAUACGGAGGAUCCGAGCGUUAUCCGGAUUUAUUGGGUUUAAAGGGUGCGUAGGCGGCCUUUUAAGUCAGCGGUGAAAGUCUGUGGCUCAACCAUAGAAUUGCCGUUGAAACUGGGGGGCUUGAGUAUGUUUGAGGCAGGCGGAAUGCGUGGUGUAGCGGUGAAAUGCAUAGAUAUCACGCAGAACCCCGAUUGCGAAGGCAGCCUGCCAAGCCAUUACUGACGCUGAUGCACGAAAGCGUGGGGAUCAAACAGGAUUAGAUACCCUGGUAGUCCACGCAGUAAACGAUGAUCACUAGCUGUUUGCGAUACACUGUAAGCGGCACAGCGAAAGCGUUAAGUGAUCCACCUGGGGAGUACGCCGGCAACGGUGAAACUCAAAGGAAUUGACGGGGGCCCGCACAAGCGGAGGAACAUGUGGUUUAAUUCGAUGAUACGCGAGGAACCUUACCCGGGUUUGAACGCAUUCGGACCGAGGUGGAAACACCUUUUCUAGCAAUAGCCGUUUGCGAGGUGCUGCAUGGUUGUCGUCAGCUCGUGCCGUGAGGUGUCGGCUUAAGUGCCAUAACGAGCGCAACCCUUGCCACUAGUUACUAACAGGUUAGGCUGAGGACUCUGGUGGGACUGCCAGCGUAAGCUGCGAGGAAGGCGGGGAUGACGUCAAAUCAGCACGGCCCUUACAUCCGGGGCGACACACGUGUUACAAUGGCGUGGACAAAGGGAUGCCACCUGGCGACAGGGAGCGAAUCCCCAAACCACGUCUCAGUUCGGAUCGGAGUCUGCAACCCGACUCCGUGAAGCUGGAUUCGCUAGUAAUCGCGCAUCAGCCAUGGCGCGGUGAAUACGUUCCCGGGCCUUGUACACACCGCCCGUCAAGCCAUGGGAGCCGGGGGUACCUGAAGUCCGUAACCGAAAGGAUCGGCCUAGGGUAAAACUGGUGACUGGGGCU